AUGAACUUUGCAUGCCUAAAAUCCAUAGACCAAACAAAACUACCCCUUGUGGUUGGUGGGUCCUAUCCAUAAUUUUCUAAAUAUUAUGUGACAACUUCAAAGCUUUCCAGACACAUACAUCAAAGGAAGGAGUAAAUCAAAACAUAUUAUUAAAAAGAUUUAAAAAUAAAACAAAAUAAAAAGUGAAACCCAACCCAAUCCAUUAGCACCCAUGCUCUCAUGCCCACAUCAUCCGAAGAAUGAAGAUCAAUAAAAAAGAAAAGAAAAGAAAAAAGACCUCAAAAUCAUCUCUCUUCCUCUUUGUUCUUACAGCUUUUCCUGUCUGUCAUUUCUCCUUUCACACUCAUCUAAACAAAGGUUAAAACUUGAUGAUGAUGAUGAUGAUAUUUAUUUGGUAUUUAGGAGUCGAGUUUUUCUCUUAAUUAACAAAGUAAAGUCUCAUUCUUUCUCUUUCUUAGUGUCUCUCUCUUGCAUUUAAUGCUUUCUCAGACUCAUCGUGUAGCUUGUCCAUGUCUUUUUAACAAAUACUGAAAUAAUCAUUCAUUCUUUCACUCAAAAACACUAAAACCCACCUAUCCUUGUCUCGUUUCCUCCGCCAUUUUUAAUUUACUUUUCCCACACUCUCUCUUUCUCUCUCUCAAGCUCAAAUGCCAAUGACCUGAGCUAAAGGACAAUAUAUAUAUCACCAAUUAUUUUUAAUAAAAUAUUUCAUGGCAGCAGCAGCUACAUCCACUAGUACCACUUCUACUACUACGACUGCACACCUCAAAGUUCAAGCCCAACCCAUUAGGCCUAAACGCCGAAAGUGUCGAGAAACCACCAUUUCCACAUCCGCCGCCGUCUCCGGAGUCGGAAGCACUGUAAACUCAACUGGGUAUUACCUUAAUCAUCAUCGCCGGAAGCUUGAUCCACCGGCGCCCACUAUAGUCUCUCCGGAUAACUCUUGGUGUUGCCCUGCUUCAAAACCCACUAUUUCCACUUCUCAUCAUCCUCCUCCUCCUCCUCCACCGCCGCCAUCUCCGCCAGCGCAGCCUCGCCAGAGGGUACGGGAAAUCCCUGUUCAGGAAACAAAUCCAGUAGUGCACAAGGUGAGGCCGUCGUGUUCGCCGUCUUCGUCUCCUUCCACAUUUAAGAUCCAAUUAUCGCCGGGGAGUCUUUCGCCGGUUAUGGAUUUCACGACCGCUUCACCUACCCCCACGGGUAUGACGACCUCCGUAAAUGGGAACGGCUACUCGGGUCACCACGAUUCGUUUCCCUCGAGCUUUAGCAAAUUUAAUUCGGUGCUUACGGCUGGGCUAUUGAACCCAAUGUCGCCACCGCCGCCUACUGAUAAGACCCGAUCGAGCCCGACCCUUUUCGAAAUGAUGGCGAGCGAGCCUGAUAUCCACCCCAGAACCCAGAUACAAUCAAGCAACGUCACUGUGGCUAAUCAUAGGAACCAUACUACUAUUACGGUCCAGGAUAGACAGGCCUUGAUGAUGCAGCGGAUUUCAGAGAUUUUGGGGUGUAGGAGCCCUGGUAAUCAGUUCAACGACCAGUCUUCUAGCGAUAUCAAGCUCACGUUGAGCUCCCGAGAUGGGCUUAGCAUUACCAUGAAUGUUCACCGCCAGAUUCUCGUUGCGCACAGUCGUUUCUUCGCGGUGAAACUUUCAGACAGGUGGGCGAAACAGCAGCGAACGACGUCGUCUACACCUCACAUUGUUGAGAUUGCCGACUGUGAAGACGUUGAGGUUUAUAUCGAGACUUUGCGGUUAAUGUACUGUAAGGAUCUGAGAAAGAAGCUCAUGAAGGAUGAUGUUCCUAGAGUUCUUGGCAUUUUAAAGGUUUCAGCUGCAAUUGGGUUCGAUGCUGGUGUUUUAUCUUGUUUGGAGUACUUAGAAGCUGCGCCAUGGGCUGAGGAUGAAGAAGAGAAGGUGGCUUCGCUAUUGUCGGAGCUCCGGCUUGAAGGGGUUGGGGCAGGGGAAGUUCUAAAGAGGGUUUCUAUUGAAGUUACUAAUGGAACCGAAGAGGGAAAUGAAAAUGAGGAGGUGCUUCUCAAACUUUUACAUGUGGUUCUUGAAGGUAAAGAUGAGAAAGCUAGAAGGGAGAUGAAAGGAUUAGUGUUGAAGAUGCUUCGCGAGAAUGCCUCACAAAAUGAUCUCAGGAAAGAGUCUUUGUAUUCUGCUUGUGAUGGUUGCUUGACGUUGCUUCGCCAACAUUUUAUGCGGGCGGUGGAUUCAGACCUCAAAGAAGUGAAUCAGAUUUCCAGGCAAGCGGAUAAUCUUCACUGGAUUCUUGAUAUCUUGAUUGAUAGACAGAUUGCUGAGGAUUUCUUGAAAACAUGGGCAUCUCAAACUGAGUUGUCUGAAGUGCAUUCUAAAGUUCCUGCGGUUCAUAGGUUUGAGGUUAGCAGAGUCACAGCUCGCCUAUUUGUUGGUAUUGGAAAAGGACAGCUCUUGGCUUCCAAGGAUGUAAGAUGUAUGCUUUUACGAACAUGGUUGGUGCCAUUUUAUGAUGAUUUUGGGUGGAUGAGAAGGGCGUCUAAAGGUCUAGAUAGACACUUGAUUGAGGAUGGUCUUAGCAAUACAAUUCUUACCCUUCCAUUAGCUUGGCAACAGGAUAUCUUGCUUGCUUGGUUUAACCGAUUCUUGAACUCUGCUGAAGAUUGCCCGAACAUACAAAGAGGGUUCGAAGUUUGGUGGAGGAGGGCUUUUUGGAGACGCAGUGGGCAGCAGGAAAGAUCAAGAUCACUGCGGAUUAUGAAUGCCACCAUUGAGAAUCCAUAGAAGCAGCAAUUCCACGAUUUUUAGAAUAAGUUUUAAACUAAAGCAAAAGGGCCUUGUGAAACUAGGAGUAGUAGAAAAGAGGUACAGCAUAGGCAAGUAUAUUUUAUGGGACAAGAUAAGAUGAUGGGGAGCGAAGAAAAGCGUUGGAGUUUCGAGUCAAAAGAUCAAAUUCCGAAACCAACCACCACCACCACCAACUUCAACUCUUUUUUGGUUUGUUAUUUGAUAGUAGUAGAGUUAUUCUAUUUUUAAAGGCUGCUAAUUGGUAAGUAAGUAGGUGUAUUGGGUGAUAUAUAUUUGUGUUUAAUGAUUGUUCUAAUGUAUUUUUUUUUUUAACAAUGAACAAUUUCAUUGAUAAUAA